UCCACCAUGGCCUGGACCCCUCUCCUCCUCACCCUUCUUGUUCGCUGCACAGGAUCCUGGGCCCAGUCUGGGGUGAGUCAGACACCCUCUGUCUCUGGGAACCCAGGCCAGCAGGUCAGCAUCUCCUGUACUGGAAGCAGCACCAACAUCGGUGGUUAUCAUGUGCACUGGUACCAACAACUCCCAGGCUUGGCCCCCAAACAAGUCAUAUAUGCUGAUAGCAAUCCACGAUCAGGGGUCCAGGAUCGAUUCUCAGGUUCCAAAUCUGGCAACACUGCCUCCCUGACCAUCACUGGGCUGCAGCCUGAGGAUGAGGCCGUUUAUUACUGUCACUUCUAUGAUAAUAGCCUAGAUAGUCACACAGUGCUGCAGGUCAACAAGGAAGUGAGACAAAAACCCCAUUCUCAUCUCUAG